UUUGUCUUUUUGUUAGCUGAUAUGUUCCUGAGAUCUACAUUUCCUACCGAUGACUCAUAGACUACAUAUAUGAUUCUUUCUGUUACUUCCCAUUUUUACUUGUAUACGUGUGAGUGCCAGCUAAAUCAGCCUAUCUUAUGAAUUUCCUUGGUUUUUUGCAUCAGGUUCUUCUGUAUAUCGACGCUCGCUGCUUUGGCAAAGGCCUUUAUAACCUACACCAGCUAGGACUAGCCAAGACCUCGCCGCAGUUGUCUUCAACUCUUCAUGCACUUGUCUUUGCAACCUUUUGGACACACUGCUACUAUUUUGCUUGUGUGUUUGCAAAUCCAGGUUUUGGUGCUCAUAGAGUAAUGCCCAAGAUCUGCUGAUGCAAUUCUCUAUUAAGCUCUGUUGUCGUAGACCAUUUUUAUAUGUUGUGAAUAUUGUCGUUCGAACUAUCUUCUUACCCCUGUCUCUUCUAUCCAUUGUAAAUAUUCUUGCACUGCGUUACCUGAUCUAUCUAUAAUUAUCGUCAGUAAAAUGCUACCUGCUUUAAGACUUUUAUGCCUACAUAUUCCCCAUUUCCAAUGUUCUGUUUGGUAACACAAUAUUGUCUACCUUAGCUAUGCAUUCUUCAAAAUGAAUGUCUACAUCUUAAAGCUAAUAAAUAGAACUUGACGAUGCAUGUUUGCUCUAUUUUUUUGUCAAAAGUAGCUACUGGCUUAUUCUUGAUCUCUAGGCAAUACCACCUUACUACAAUGUUUUUGCUAAUUUCUCAGCACUUGCGCAGAAAGACAAGAGCUACGUGUUGCUCAAGGAACAACUUGCUGUUGUUGUUCCUGUGCUAGACGACCUGAAAUGCAAGACAGAAAAAAGGAUCAAGCAGUAUUAUGAUAUUCGAUCACAGAUUGAGAAGAUAUGCUCCGAGUUAAGUGAGCAUAAUGAUCAGGGUGAUAAUGUAAACAGUCCAGCUGGUGAUGAACAUGAUUUGUCGACAAGGAAGCUUAAUAGCUACCAAGCACAACUUCGUGCUCAAAAAUAAGUUAAACCGUCCUGAAUAAGCUAGGUAAUCUGAAACCUACAGUUGGCCUUCAAAAUAUUAUGUUUCUUGCACUACAUGUGAAUAAAUAGAACUGGCAGCUGCUAAGGAAUACUUGAGUAUUCAGGAAUGGUUCAAGUCAGAGAAAAAAGACCUUAGAUUUUGUGGUAUAUGCUUUCUAUAAAGUGGUAAGAUGAUUAAUUUGUUAAGCUAGCCACUGCCAUGUAAUUUGUAUCAACUAUCUAGGACUGCAGGUCAUCUAAUUUAAGUUACUUUAGGAUUGAGUGUUGAUGCGAAAUGUUUCCUUAUUUGCAUUACUUUCAGUCUGAUAGACUUCACAAGAUUCUGAAAUAUGUAAAUGAAGGCAUUCUUUAUGUGGAGUUAUUGGAAUUGAUUUCCCAAAGACUGUAAACGUAAUUCAUCCCGGUCUACAUCAGAAUGGUGCUGAGCAGUCCAGAAACAUGAGCAAUGGGAAGGCCUUCCUAGCACAAUAUCAAAUCUUAAAGAAGAGAGAAAAUCUAGAAUCGAUAAGAUGAGAGACACAAUGGAAUCAUUAUGUCACCUCUUGAAGUUAAUGGAUUCUUCUGAAGAGGAGAAAAGGCAAUUCAGCAAAGUAAUCAACAUUCUCAUAUCACUAGAAGAGGGAAUCACAUCCGCUGGUGUUCUUUCGUAGGAAACAAUCGGGAAGGUUUACUAGAAGAGGGAAUCACAUCCGCUGGUGUUCUUUCCUAGGAAACAAUCGGGAAGGUACAUACUGAAGGAUGUUCCGAGGAUAGCACCAGGUUUAGAAGUUUUGCAAUUCACAACAAUACCUCAUAAUUUUGAUUUGAUGUCCAGAAUGUCAAUUGAAGAAUGAGCCUAUGAACUGCAUUGUAUUUUGGGAUAUAUCCUUAUAUAUGGUGCCUGUGGAUUUUUUUUGCAAUUAUAAGUUUACAUUUAUGGGUAUUAUAGAGUCCUUUCUUUUUCCACAAGGGGCAGUAGCCGUGCCAUUCGAUUCGAAGGACAAAAAGUUGAUCACAAAGGGGUAGCACUCAGGAUAUAUACACAAGAGUAUAGAACCAAAUUAUAUGAUGUAAUUGACCACUAUUUCUAUUUACUUCUCCUGUACAAAUGUUCACGAGUUCAUGUAUUAAGUACAUUUUAUUGUGUCACUUGUGUUUACUCUUUUUUAAUAAG